rnacentral:rRNA from 1 species
GUGUCAGCAGCCGCGGUAACACGGAGGGUGCGAGCGUUAAUCGGAAUUACUGGGCGUAAAGCGCGCGUAGGUGGCUUGAUAAGCCGGUUGUGAAAGCCCCGGGCUCAACCUGGGGACGGCAUCCGGAACUGUCAAGCUAGAGUGCAGGAGAGGAAGGUAGAAUUCCCGGUGUAGCGGUGAAAUGCGUAGAGAUCGGGAGGAAUACCAGUGGCGAAGGCGGCCUUCUGGACUGACACUGACACUGAGGUGCGAAAGCGUGGGUAGCAAACAGGAUUAGAUACCCCCGUCC